UACGUAGGGGGCAAGCGUUGUCCGGAAUUAUUGGGCGUAAAGGGCUCGUAGGCGGUCUGUUGCGUCGGGAGUGAAAACUUACAGCUUAACUGUGAGCGUGCUUCCGAUACGGGCAGACUUGAGGUAUUCAGGGGAGAACGGAAUUCCUGGUGUAGCGGUGAAAUGCGCAGAUAUCAGGAGGAACACCGGUGGCGAAGGCGGUUCUCUGGGAAUAUCCUGACGCUGAGGAGCGAAAGUGUGGGGAGCGAACAGG
rnacentral:rRNA from 1 species